AUGGAGGAGGCCGUCGUGGUUCGUCAUGGAGGCGGCGCCGCUGACAAGCUGGUUGAGCACAGAAGAAUGAGGAAUGGAUACAUGAGGCAUGGCGUAAGCGUAGGGGUCAGCCAGGGCACGACGCAAGAGUCUGCCCAUCUCCUCUCAAAGUUAGUUCUUGCUCUUGUCCCUACUACCUCGCCUUCCAACUCUGAUAGAGUAUUUCAUUUCUGCAAUGUAUUAUAUUCUUUGAAGCAAUUGCAAUUUUUUCAUAGCUUCUUGGCAUACUAUGGAUUUAAUUCUUUGCGAGAACAAGCAAAAGAUGCAGUUUCUGUCAGAUACAAUUACGGAAAGGUUUGCCGACUAAAUGUACAAAUAUGA
rnacentral:rRNA from 1 species